AAUUUAACGCAGAGGCAAUGUCGUAACCAAUGAGGUUAAUCUGAAGUGCCAUUAUUGCUAGUUAAAACAUUCAUUUUUCAACUCUCAAUUUCUUUCAAGAGUCGAAAGACGCAUUAAUCAAGUUGCAAAUGCAU